rnacentral:rRNA from 1 species
CGGGACACGUGGUAUCCUGUCUGAAUAUGGGGGGACCAUCCUCCAAGGCUAAAUACUCCUGACUGACCGAUAGUGAACCAGUACCGUGAGGGAAAGGCGAAAAGAACCCCGGCGAGGGGAGUGAAAAAGAACCUGAAACCGUGUACGUACAAGCAGUGGGAGCACGCUUAGGCGUGUGACUGCGUACCUUUUGUAUAAUGGGUCAGCGACUUAUAUUCUGUAGCAAGGUUAACCGAAUAGGGGAGCCGAAGGGAAACCGAGUCUUAACUGGGCGUUAAGUUGCAGGGUAUAGACCCGAAACCCGGUGAUCUAGCCAUGGGCAGGUUGAAGGUUGGGUAACACUAACUGGAGGACCGAACCGACUAAUGUUGAAAAAUUAGCGGAUGACUUGUGGCUGGGGGUGAAAGGCCAAUCAAACCGGGAGAUAGCUGGUUCUCCCCGAAAGCUAUUUAGGUAGCGCCUCGUGAAUUCAUCUCCGGGGGUAGAGCACUGUUUCGGCAAGGGGGUCAUCCCGACUUACCAACCCGAUGCAAACUGCGAAUACCGGAGAAUGUUAUCACGGGAGACACACGGCGGGUGCUAACGUCCGUCGUGAAGAGGGAAACAACCCAGACCGCCAGCUAAGGUCCCAAAGUCAUGGUUAAGUGGGAAACGAUGUGGGAAGGCCCAGACAGCCAGGAUGUUGGCUUAGAAGCAGCCAUCAUUUAAAGAAAGCGUAAUAGCUCACUGGUCGAGUCGGCCUGCGCGGAAGAUGUAACGGGGCUAAACCAUGCACCGAAGCUGCGGCAGCGACGCUGAUGCGUUGUUGGGUAGGGGAGCGUUCUGUAAGCCUGUGAAGGUGUGCUGUGAGGCAUGCUGGAGGUAUCAGAAGUGCGAAUGCUGACAUAAGUAACGAUAAAGCGGGUGAAAAGCCCGCUCGCCGGAAGACCAAGGGUUCCUGUCCAACGUUAAUCGGGGCAGGGUGAGUCGACCCCUAAGGCGAGGCCGAAAGGCGUAGUCGAUGGGAAACAGGUUAAUAUUCCUGUACUUGGUGUUACUGCGAAGGGGGGACGGAGAAGGCUAUGUUGGCCGGGCGACGGUUGUCCCGGUUUAAGCGUGUAGGCUGGUUUUCCAGGCAAAUCCGGAAAAUCAAGGCUGAGGCGUGAUGACGAGGCACUACGGUGCUGAAGCAACAAAUGCCCUGCUUCCAGGAAAAGCCUCUAAGCAUCAGGUAACAUCAAAUCGUACCCCAAACCGACACAGGUGGUCAGGUAGAGAAUACCAAGGCGCUUGAGAGAACUCGGGUGAAGGAACUAGGCAAAAUGGUGCCGUAACUUCGGGAGAAGGCACGCUGAUAUGUAGGUGAAGCGACUUGCUCGUGGAGCUGAAAUCAGUCGAAGAUACCAGCUGGCUGCAACUGUUUAUUAAAAACACAGCACUGUGCAAACACGAAAGUGGACGUAUACGGUGUGACGCCUGCCCGGUGCCGGAAGGUUAAUUGAUGGGGUCAGCGCAAGCGAAGCUCUUGAUCGAAGCCCCGGUAAACGGCGGCCGUAACUAUAACGGUCCUAAGGUAGCGAAAUUCCUUGUCGGGUAAGUUCCGACCUGCACGAAUGGCGUAAUGAUGGCCAGGCUGUCUCCACCCGAGACUCAGUGAAAUUGAACUCGCUGUGAAGAUGCAGUGUACCCGCGGCAAGACGGAAAGACCCCGUGAACCUUUACUAUAGCUUGACACUGAACAUUGAGCCUUGAUGUGUAGGAUAGGUGGGAGGCUUUGAAGUGUGGACGCCAGUCUGCAUGGAGCCGGCCUUGAAAUACCACCCUUUAAUGUUUGAUGUUCUAACGUUGACCCGUGAUCCGGGUUGCGGACAGUGUCUGGUGGGUAGUUUGACUGGGGCGGUCUCCUCCUAAAGAGUAACGGAGGAGCACGAAGGUUGGCUAAUCCUGGUCGGACAUCAGGAGGUUAGUGCAAUGGCAUAAGCCAGCUUGACUGCGAGCGUGACGGCGCGAGCAGGUGCGAAAGCAGGUCAUAGUGAUCCGGUGGUUCUGAAUGGAAGGGCCAUCGCUCAACGGAUAAAAGGUACUCCGGGGAUAACAGGCUGAUACCGCCCAAGAGUUCAUAUCGACGGCGGUGUUUGGCACCUCGAUGUCGGCUCAUCACAUCCUGGGGCUGAAGUAGGUCCCAAGGGUAUGGCUGUUCGCCAUUUAAAGUGGUACGCGAGCUGGGUUUAGAACGUCGUGAGACAGUU